rnacentral:rRNA from 1 species
AUACGUAGGGGGCGAGCGUUGUCCGGAAUGAUUGGGCGUAAAGGGCGCGUAGGCGGCCCGGUAAGUCUGGAGUGAAAGUCCUGUUUUUAAGAUGGGAAUUGCUUUGGAUACUGUCGGGCUUGAGUGCAGGAGAGGUAAGUGGAAUUCCCCGUGUAGCGGUGAAAUGCGUAGAGAUUGGGAGGAACACCAGUGGCGAAGGCGACUUACUGGACUGUAACUGACGCUGAGGCGCGAAAGUGUGGGGAGCAAACAGGAUUAGAUACCCUGGUAGUCCACACUGUAAACGAUGAAUGCUAGGUGUAGGGGGUAUCGACCCCUUCUGUGCCGCAGUCAACACAAUAAGCAUUCCGCCUGGGGAGCACGGCCGCAAGGUUGAAACUCAAAUGAAUUGACGGGG